UUCGGUACGACAUUGCUCACAUUGCUUCCAGUAUGUUUUGCCCGCCUCAAUGAGUGCGGGCUUUUUUU
rnacentral:antisense_RNA from 1 species